rnacentral:rRNA from 1 species
UGGGGGAUAUUGGACAAUGGGGGGAACCCUGAUCCAGCGACGCCGCGUGAGUGAAGAAGUAUUUCGGUAUGUAAAGCUCUGUCAGCAGGGAAGAGAGAGGACGGUACCUGAAGAAGAAGCCCCGGCUAACUACGUGCCAGCAGCCGCGGUAAUACGUAGGGGGCAAGCGUUAUCCGGAUUUACUGGGUGUAAAGGGAGCGCAGACGGACAGGCAAGUCUGGAGUGAAAGGCGGGGGCCCAACCCCCGGACUGCUCUGGAAACUGCGGGUCUGGAGUGCAGGAGAGGCAGGCGGAAUUCCUGGUGUAGCGGUGAAAUGCGUAGAUAUCAGGAGGAACACCGGUGGCGAAGGCGGCCUGCUGGACUGUAACUGACGUUGAGGCUCGAAAGCGUGGGGAGCAA